CAAGCCCACUCAUCCACACCUCCUGCUCAAACCCUAAACUCACCAAUCCCCUCCAUAUAAACGCCGCCUCUAAGGAUUCCUCAAUGGCCGCUUAGCUCUAGGUAGAACCCCACCCCUCAAUUCAUCCGCCGCCAUGCCAGCGCCAAGCCAGAUCUGCGGGCUCCGGGCAGGGGAUGCCUCAUCGUUUUUUUUCGUUCGUUCUAAUCGGUUCUUCGCAAGUGAAGUGAGAUGGCAGUGACGACUCGGCUUGCAUGUGACCGAGCGUUGCGACGGAAGACAAAUUGACGAGCCUCCAACGGCUCAAGUCCAAGCGACGUGUGGCAUGACUGUAAUGGUGAUGGGAACACUCGUGGGAAACAGUGUCUCGUUGCAGAGGAGCACGAGCCCAAGCACGCCACCACUCAACGCCAUGCGCCAUGAGUUCCAUCAUCUUUUUGUGGGGUUGCCAUUGCCACGAGCUCUAUGUAUAAAAUGGGUUGUUCAGAUCAUAAUAAUCAAAACAAUGGUUCUGUUUUAAUA